rnacentral:rRNA from 1 species
UACGUAGGGUGCAGGCGUUAAUCGGAAUUACUGGGCGUAAAGCGUGCGCAGGCGGUUUGCUAAGACAGGUGUGAAAUCCCCGGGCUUAACCUGGGAACUGCGCUUGUUACUGGCAAGCUAGAGUGUGGCAGAGGGGGUGGAAGUCCACGUGUAGCAGUGAAAUGCGUAGAGAUGUGGAGGAACACCGAUGGCGAAGGCAGCCCCCUGGGCGUAACA